rnacentral:rRNA from 1 species
GGACACGUGGUAUCCUGUCUGAAUAUGGGGGGACCAUCCUCCAAGGCUAAAUACUCCUGACUGACCGAUAGUGAACCAGUACCGUGAGGGAAAGGCGAAAAGAACCCCGGCGAGGGGAGUGAAAAAGAACCUGAAACCGUGUACGUACAAGCAGUGGGAGCACCCUUUUGGGUGUGACUGCGUACCUUUUGUAUAAUGGGUCAGCGACUUAUAUUCUGUAGCAAGGUUAACCGUAUAGGGGAGCCGGAGGGAAACCGAGUCUUAACCGGGCGUUAAGUUGCAGGGUAUAGACCCGAAACCCGGUGAUCUAGCCAUGGGCAGGUUGAAGGUUGGGUAACACUAACUGGAGGACCGAACCGACUAAUGUUGAAAAAUUAGCGGAUGACCUGUGGCUGGGGGUGAAAGGCCAAUCAAACCGGGAGAUAGCUGGUUCUCCCCGAAAGCUAUUUAGGUAGCGCCUCGUGAAUUCAUCUCCGGGGGUAGAGCACUGUUUCGGCUAGGGGGUCAUCCCGACUUACCAACCCGAUGCAAACUGCGAAUACCGGAGAA